rnacentral:rRNA from 1 species
GGCCUAACACAUGCAAGUCGAGCGCCCCGCAAGGGGAGCGGCGGACGGGUGAGUAACACGUGGGAAUUUUCCUCAAGGUACGGAACAACUCAGGGAAACUUGGGCUAAUACCGUAUGAUGCAGAGAUGCCAAAGAUUUAUCGCCUUGGGAUAAGCCCGCGUCAGAUUAGGUAGUUGGUGGGGUAACGGCCUACUAAGCCUGUGAUCUGUAGCUGGUCUGAGAGGACGAUCAGCCACAUUGGGACUGAGACACGGCCCAAACUCCUACGGGAGGCAGCAGUGGGGAAUCUUGCGCAAUGGACGAAAGUCUGACGCAGCCAUGCCGCGUGAAUGAUGAAGGUCUUAGGAUUGUAAAGUUC